CCUACGGGUGGCAGCAGUGAGGAAUAUUGGUCAAUGGGCGCGCGCCUGAACCAGCCAAGUCGCGUGAGGGAAGACGGUCCUAUGGAUUGUAAACCUCUUUUGUCGGGGAGCAAAAGACGCCACGCGUGGCGUUCCGAGAGUACCCGAAGAAAAAGCAUCGGCUAACUCCGUGCCAGCAGCCGCGGUAAGACGGAGGAGGCGAGCGUUAUCCGGAUUUAAUGGGGUUAAAGGGUGCGCAGGCGGAAGAUCAAGUCAGCGGUAAAAUUGAGGGGGCAAACCUCUUCGAGCCGUUGAAACUGGUUUUCUUGAGUACGUGCGAGGUAUGCGGAAUGCGUGGUGUAGCGGUGAAAUGCAUAGAUAUCACGCAGAACUCCGAUUGCGAAGGCAGCAUACCGGCGCUCAACUGACGCUCAUGCACGAAAGUGUGGGUAUCGAACAGGAUUAGAUACCCCUGUAGUC
rnacentral:rRNA from 1 species